CCCGUGGGUAUUCCCGCGGGCAUGCGUGUGUGAGCGGUUAUCUCCCUCGCAGGUAAUGGACAUACGGCGUCAGCUGUUCCUCCAAAAAGUGAUUGGUGUAGUAUUACAGUUUACUCACAACCAUACUUUUUCCCUCACACACGUAAGACUACCCGCUGAACUUAAGCAUAUCAAUAAGCGGAGGAAAAAUCCUCCGCAUGGACAAUUACUUUGACUCUGGCCUGAAAUCUGGUAGGACUACCCGCUGAACUUAAUCAUAUCAAUAAGCGGAGGAG
rnacentral:misc_RNA from 1 species